GACGAACGCUGGCGGCGUGCUUAACACAUGCAAGUCGAACGGAAAGGCCCUGCUUGCCGGGUGCUCGAGUGGCGAACGGGUGAGUAACGCGUGGGUGAUCUGCCCCUUACUUUGGGAUAAGCCUGGGAAACUGGGUCUAAUACUGGAUAGGACCAUGCUGUAGGUGGUGUGGUGGAAAGAUUAGUUUCGGUAAGGGAUGAGCUCGCGGCCUAUCAGCUUGUUGGUGGGGUAAUGGCCUACCAAGGCGUCGACGGGUAGCCGGCCUGAGAGGGUGGACGGCCACAUUGGGACUGAGAUACGGCCCAGACUCCUACGGGAGGCAGCAGUGGGGAAUAUUGCACAAUGGGCGCAAGCCUGAUGCAGCGACGCCGCGUGGGGGAUGACGGCCUUCGGGUUGUAAACUCCUUUCAGCCAUGACGAAGCCUUCGGGUGACGGUAGUGGUAGAAGAAGCACCGGCUAACUACGUG
rnacentral:rRNA from 1 species